rnacentral:rRNA from 1 species
GACGAACGCUGGCGGCGUGCUUAACACAUGCAAGUCGAACGAAAGGCCCUGCUUUUGUGGGGUGCUCGCGUGGCGAACGGGUGAGUAACACGUGAGUAACCUGCCCUUGACUUUGGGAUAACUUCAGGAAACUGGGGCUAAUACCGGAUAGGAGCUCCUGCUGCAUGGUGGGGGUUGGAAAGUUUCGGCGGUUGGGGAUGGACUCGCGGCUUAUCAGCUUGUUGGUGGGGUAGUGGCUUACCAAGGCUUUGACGGGUAGCCGGCCUGAGAGGGUGACCGGCCACAUUGGGACUGAGAUACGGCCCAGACUCCUACGGGAGGCAGCAGUGGGGAAUAUUGCACAAUGGGCGGAAGCCUGAUGCAGCAACGCCGCGUGCGGGAUGACGGCCUUCGGGUUGUAAACCGCUUUCGCCUGUGACGAAGCGUGAGUGACGGUAAUGGGUAAAGAAGCACCGGCUAACUACGUG